UUAACUCAAAUUUGUAUGGAGUUGGAACGUUAGUCGCUAGGGGCACUGUUCCAAUUGCAUACAAAUGUCAGUUA
rnacentral:pre_miRNA from 1 species